GCCGGAGUGGUGGAACUGGCAGACACAAGGGACUUAAAAUCCCUUGGCACUUCGUGCCGUGCGGGUUCAAAUCCCGCCUCCGGCA
rnacentral:tRNA from 1 species